AGUGGAUGCAAAAGUGAUUAAUGUUGGGGAGUCAUUGAUGGACUGUGGCCUUUGUGAAAGUGAUGAAUUUUGCAAUUUCCAAAAGACACCUUCACAAUGUGAAAAAUGCACAUUGUGUCCUGCUGGUUUCUUCCAAAUGGCCGAGUGUUCUGCAAACUCUGAUAGGAUUUGCCAGGACAGAGAUGAAUGCACUGAAUCUCCAAGCAUUUGUGGUGAGAGGAUAAAAUGCCUGAAUACUCCGGGUGGUUUCCGAUGCCUUGGAAUUGCUGAGAAAGAUGCAGCUUUGGGAGUGUGUGGAGAGGAGUAUUUCUUUAAUAAGGAAAUGCAGGAAUGCCAAGCGUGUUUAAAAUGUGAAGAUGGAAUGGUGGCCAUGCCUUGUUCCACUGUCAGUGAUACAGUUUGUUCGGUAACUAGUGAAAACAAGCUCUCAGAGUCUUGGGCUGCAAACAUCAUUCUACCCUCUGUAAAGUCUGGCAUCUCUCAGGUCUACUCUGGCUUGAACUUGAAGAUAAAAGGAAAGCUUCCCUGUGAAAUCCUAUCUGUUGAAGAUAACAGCCUGGUGUUCAGGCAACAUGGUUUGUUGUGGACUGACCUAAAUUUUGCAGUAAAGCACAACUGCAGGAAUUUUUUGCAACUUUCCUUAAAGCUUAAUGGCAGUGAGGAAGGCUAUGAACUGAGCGGUGUUCGCAUUGAACAGCCAGAAGGAAAGUAUUUCCAGAGCACUAGUUUAAGCAGUGCUGCUGAAGUGGAGCCCAGCCAAACUCUCUCUGUGUAUUUGAGGAGCCCAAAUCAAUUCUGCAAUCAAAGUAAAGACUUAAAUAUUUAUGAUCUUAAUACCCCACUCAGUUUGUUUUGGUUGUCCCAUGACACAGGUGCUGUGGCACUCAGUGCACAGAUGUCAACAGCAAUGCAUUACCAAACCAACUAUCGACCUACCUUUAAAAUAAUUUCUGUUUCCGACCCUUACAUGCUAAGUUUAUCUCAUGAUGGCAGAGCGAUAAAGUUCACUGAAACUGGUGUUGUCAAAUUUGUGUUCCACCAAGCAUUGUAUUCUAUGGGUCAUACCUGUGUCCGGGAGGGCUUCUCCUUAAUUUCCUAUAUCAAUAGGAAUGGUACCAACAGAGAAUUAAUGAAUGUAUUUAAAUCUGGGGUAAAUUACAGAGAUACAUCGAUAUCUGCUUCCUGGGCCACAAAAGUUGGUGCUGGAGAUCUGAUUAGCUUUGAGAUACUCUCUCCUGCACAGUGUAAUGUUCGGUAUUUUGGAGAUAGUUCUGGAAUUAGUAUGUUUAGUCUCAUCUGGAUCCCUUCAGCAGUUUCUAGUGCCUUAUCAGCCACAGUUUCUGUUACAGGUCUGCCCACUGGAGCCGUGAGAAACAAAUUAUUGGAUUUCACGCAGGUCUCAUCCAAUGAGAAACAGAUACAGCUGAUUUCUUCUGGACAGCUUGCUCAAAAGUAUUUCAUUUUUACUGAAAAGGGAGUUGCCAGCCUUGCAUUUAACUUAAAGCUAAUCCACUCAUGCAAUGUGCUCAAAAUGACUCUCAAUCAGUUGACCAUGGAUCACAUGCAACCCACAGCAAUUGCUCAGCAGAUUGGAGGUCAGAUGCCAGAGGGAAGCACAUGGACCAGUGUGUCCCUCCGUGCAUCUUUUGAAGUACAUAAUGGAACAUUGAUAGCAGUCUCUCUUGACUGUGUGCGUGGAAGGAUCAAUCAGAUCACUCAUGAACAGGGAACCAGUAUAUCUAUUUUAUGGAUUUCAUCUUAAUUUCUGUACAGUGAAGUUAGCACAGAAUUGGGAUUUAAAUCGCAUUUGGGUUCUACUCUGAUUCUGUACAUAUUUG
rnacentral:lncRNA from 1 species